UGAGGAAUAUUGCACAAUGGGCGCAAGCCUGAUGCAGCGACGCCGCGUGUGGGAUGAAGGGGCUACGCCUCGUAAACCACUGUAGCCCGGGACGAAAAACGCCUUAGAGGCGUUAGACGGUACCGGGAAAGUAAGGGUCGGCUAACUACGUGCCAGCAGCCGCGGUAAUACGUAGGACCCAAGCGUUGUCCGGAUUUACUGGGUGUAAAGGGUGCGCAGGCGGAUGGGUAAGUCAGGGGUGAAAGUCUGCAGCUUAACGGUAGAAUUGCCUUUGAUGCUGCGCAUCUUGAGUGUGAGAGAGGGUGGUGGAAUACCAGGUGUAGCAGUGAAAUGCGUAGAUAUCUGGAAGAACACCAGUGGCGAAGGCGGUCAACUGGCCCAUAACUGACGCUCAUGCACGAAAGCGUGGGGAGCAAACA
rnacentral:rRNA from 1 species